CCCCUGGUGCUCUAGUGGUUAGGAUGUGUCUCUCUCACCGCCACGGCUCAGGUUCAAUUCCUGGUCAGGGAA
rnacentral:tRNA from 1 species